GACAGAGGUGCCGAGCGUUAGGCGGAAUCACUGGGCUUAAAGCGUGUGUAGGCGGGUUUCUAAGUAACUUGUGAAAUCCCACGGCUCAACCGUGGAACUGCUGGGUAUACUGGGAAUCUUGAGCCACUUAGGGGCUACCGGAACAAAUGGUGGAGCGGUGAAAUGCGUAGAUAUCAUUUGGAACGCCAAUGGUGAAAACAGGUAGCUGGGAGUGUGCUGACGCUGAGACACGAAAGCCAGGGGAGCGAACGGG
rnacentral:rRNA from 1 species